UGAAGCUCCCUCCUCCCUCAAGCUCCUCCUCACCAUGAGAGCCUCCCUCUCCUUCUUCUCCCCAACCCUAGAUGGUUUUCUCUCCUCUUCCUCUUCCUCCAUUGCUAAGAUUGGAUCUUGAUGCAGGUGCAUGUUGGUCCAAGCAUGGAGAAGCUUGAGCUAUCCUCAGAUCUGAAGUUCUUGAGCAAAGUUCGUCCAAAUCCUUGCAGUAAUUUCUGCUAUCUUGCUGUUUCAGAUUCUGAUAGAUACGGAAAAUAUCUACAACUUGGCGUUGGUCUCAUCCUCAAAUUCGUUACGGAUUGUCCGUGGUGACAGCCCUCUUCAAUACCUUCAUUUUGGCGGUGGUUUCACUUCGAUUGACCUCCUGAAACUGAAAUGGUUCACAGGUCAAGAUCUGGUCAGAUCUGACUUUGUCGAAUUAAACCAGGAGCUUGGGAACGAAUCUUUGAGUGAAACAAAUUGGGGGAUGUUUGGUUUAUACCAUGGUGAUAACCGAGAGAGGCAAUUGCUAAGUUGUGAUACUCUCAUACCUUUACUAGACGCGAGCAAUUCCGGAGAAGAAGAAGAAGUGGAAUUGGACAAGGAUUUUAUUUAUAUUGUUGGGAUUCUUAUAUGGAUAGAGUUGAAGAAGUACAGGGACAAAUAAGCCAAGGCAAGCCAUUUACUUUGAUCCAUCGUUCUCUAUGUUCUUGAUUGAGAUCUUGCCAUC